GCGAAAACUUUACAAUGCGGGAAACCGUGAUAAGGGGACACCGAGUGCUAGCAUCAUAUGCUGGCUGUCCAGGUGUGUAAAAUACACCUGUUAGCAAGGGCCGGGCAAGACCGGUGCCAGCCGCCGCGGUAACACCGGCGGCCCGAGUGGUGAUCGUGAUUAUUGGGUCUAAAGGGUCCGUAGCCGGUUUGGUCAGUCCUCCGGGAAAUCUGAUAGCUCAACUAUUAGGCUUUCGGGGGAUACUGCCAGACUUGGAACCGGGAGAGGUAAGAGGUACUACAGGGGUAGGAGUGAAAUCUUGUAAUCCCUGUGGGACCACCUGUGGCGAAGGCGUCUUACCAGAACGGGUUCGACGGUGAGGGACGAAAGCUGGGGGCACGAACC
rnacentral:rRNA from 1 species